UGGUUACAGGUGGAAGGAAUGCAAGUUCAUGCCAAUGAGGGGGGAGUAACACAAACACGUGGUGGUGUUUAUUGGUUGAUCUUGCCUGCUGGAUAUCUUGGUUCGUCUUUUUGGGGGAUGGUUCUCAUACUUGCAUCGACAAAUCUUCUCACUGCAAAGAUUGCUGCUGGUUGUUUCAUUGCUGCUCUGCUCAUUGUGCUCUUUAUUGCCCAAAAUGUAAGGAGCUAAGU